CACGAACGCUGGCGGCAGGCUUAACACAUGCAAGUCGAGCGCCCCGCAAGGGGAGCGGCAGACGGGUGAGUAACGCGUGGGAAUCUACCCAUCUCUACGGAGUAACGCAUGGAAACGUGUGCUAAUACCGUAUACGUCCUUCGGGAGAAAGAUUUAUCGGAGAUGGAUGAGCCCGCGUUGGAUUAGCUAGUUGGUGGGGUAAAGGCCUACCAAGGCGACGAUCCAUAGCUGGUCUGAGAGGAUGAUCAGCCACACUGGGACUGAGACACGGCCCAGACUCCUACGGGAGGCAGCGGUGGGGAAUAUUGGACAAUGGGCGCAAGCCUGAUCCAGCCAUGCCGCGUGAGUGAUGAAGGCCCUAGGGUUGUAAAGCUCUUUCACCGGUGAAGAUAAUGACGGUAACCGGAGAAGAAGCCCCGGCUAACUUCGUGCCAGCCGCCGCCGUAAUAC
rnacentral:rRNA from 1 species